UACGUAGGGUGCAAGCGUUAAUCGGAAUUACUGGGCGUAAAGCGUGCGCAGGCGGUUAUGUAAGACAGAUGUGAAAUCCCAGGGCUCAACCUUGGAACUGCAUUUGUGACUGCAUAGCUAGAGUACGGUAGAGGGGGAUGGAAUUCCGCGUGUAGCAGUGAAAUGCGUAGAUAUGCGGAGGAACACCGAUGGCGAAGGCAAUCCCCUGGACCUGUACUGACGCUCAGCCACGAAAGCAUGGGGAGCGAACGGG
rnacentral:rRNA from 1 species